CGUUGUGUGCCUGUAGCGCAAUGGAUAGCGUGUUGGACUUCUAAUCCAAAGGUCGUGCGUUCGAAUCACACCUGGAUGA